UGCAGUCUGAGGGAUGGAGUGGA
rnacentral:miRNA from 1 species